rnacentral:tRNA from 1 species
UCCCUGGUGGCUCAGAUGGUAAAGCGUCUGCCUGUAAUGCAGGAGACCUGGGUUCAAUCCCUGGGUUGUGAA